CUGGGUGAACCUGCGGAGGGACAUUA
rnacentral:rRNA from 1 species